CUGCAGGUUGCUGAAGGGCAGAGUCACAGACUGCUCCACUGCCAGGUGUGAGACCAGUGUGGCAGAGUAUGAUGUGUACACAAUGAGGGACACACCACAGCCAACCCUGUAGGUGACCUAUGCUGCACUGCUGAUUGGGUCCUCACUUUGCUGUAGGAGAGCUGACAACACGUACCAGCCAGCAACUCCCAUGCUGACGGGCUUCUCCCCCAUGGGUAUGUAGCACCUCUGGAGUUGGUCAGCAAAGAAGAGGAUGCUAGCCAAACCUAUCAUGUUAGUCAGGAUGCACCAGUACAGAGCUGUGUCCAUUGGGGUUGUGUAGGCUAGUAGCAUCUUGCCAAGGUCCUCAUAGGUGGCCACAAACAGUUUAUGGCUAUAAGAGGAGGACUUGCCUUCUGAACAUCACAUUGGGGAAGCCCACCCCAGCAGCCCAGCCUCCCCUGACAGCUGUCAUCAUCUGCUGCCUUGCCUGGGAGGACCAUAGACACAGCUUGUCUCUGAUGUCUUCCCCACAAUGCCUUGGCUUUGUUGGCUUCAGUGCAAUUUGUUUGUCUUCAGUUUAAAUAGUAUUGUAUAUACUAUCUUGUCUUCACCAUCUUGAAAUGUGAAGGAUGUUCUUGACAAACAAACAAGGUAGUAUUGUAUAAUUAUUACUUUAAAUAUUGUCUUAAAUUAUCUUGAAAUUUGUAAAAAAAAAAAAAAUGUGUAAAAAGAAAGCAAAUACAGAUGAUUAUCUCUGUAGUGAAGGAGGAAGGACUCAAUAUCCCUGUAGUGAAGGAGGAAGGACUCAAUAUCCCUGUAGUGAAGGAGGAAGGACUCAAUUUUUUUUAAGUUUAAGGUGUGAUUUGCACAUAGAGGCUCCUGGAUUUCCCUGUAGAGUGACCCUCCCUGAAUGCAGGGAGGGACGGUGCGUCUAUGUACAAAUCGCACCUUAAACUUAGUAGUGAAGCCUUAAACUUAGUAUUUUGUAGUGAAGGAGGGAGGAAGGACUCCUUUCUGAGUCCUUCUCAUCACCACAAUGUUGCAUCUCUAGCUGUCUUCUACCGCUAUUUUCAUGCUAACUGCUCUUCUGAUCUCACUAACUGCAUACCUCCCCUCCUCCCGUGGCCUCACUGCACAAGACUUUCUUCUUUCUCUCACCUCUAUUGUGUCCACCUCUCUAAUACAAGAGUUAACCAGUAUUCUCAGUCAUUCAUCCCUUUCUCUGGCAAACUCUGGAACUCCCUACCUGCUUCUGUAUUUCCACCUUCCUAUGACUUUAAUUCCUUCAAGAGGGAGGUUUCAAGACAUUUAUCCUUCAAUUUCUGACUACUGCUUUGGACAGUGUUUGGGGAUCAGCACCUCA